GGUUGUGUAGUGUAGCGGUUAUCACUCCAGAUUUUGAGACAUCCCCAAUGUUCUGGUAACCCCGGUUCGAACCCGGGCACGACCU